AUUGAACGCUGGCGGCAGGCUUAACACAUGCAAGUCGGACGGUAACAGGGAGGAAGCUUGCUUUCUUUGCUGACGAGUGGCGGACGGGUGAGUAAUGCUUGGGAAUCUGUUUUAUGGAGGGGGAUAACUACGGGAAACUGUAGCUAAUACCGCGUAAUAUCGAGAGAUUAAAGUGUGGGACCGUAAGGCCACAUGCCAUAGAGUGAGCCCAAGUGGGAUUAGGUAGUUGGUGGGGUAAAGGCCUACCAAGCCGUCGGUCUCUAGCUGGUCUGAGAGGAUGACCAGCCACACUGGGACUGAGACACAGCCCAGACUCCUACGGGAGGCAGCAGUGGGGAAUAUUGCACAAUGGGCGCAAGCCUGAUGCAGCCAUGCCGCGUGAAUGAAGAAGGCCUUCGGGUUGUAAAGUUCUUUCGGUGGUGAGGAAGGUUGUAAUGUUAAUAGCAUUAUAAUUUGACGUUAGCCACAGAAGAAGCACCGGCUAACUCCGUGCCAGCAGCCGCGGUAAUACGGAGGGUGCGAGCGUUAAUCGGAAUAACUGGGCGUAAAGGGCACGCAGGCGGAUACUUAAGUGAGGUGUGAAAGCCCUGGGCUUAACCUAGGAAUUGCAUUUCAUACUGGGUAUCUAGAGUAUUUUAGGGAGGGGUAGAAUUCCACGUGUAGCGGUGAAAUGCGUAGAGAUGUGGAGGAAUACCGAAGGCGAAGGCAGCCCCUUGGGGGAAUACUGACGCUCAUGUGCGAAAGCGUGGGGAGCAAACAGG
rnacentral:rRNA from 1 species